rnacentral:rRNA from 1 species
CGCGUAGACGGUUUUGUAAGUCAGAUGUGAAAUCCCUGGGCUCAACCUGGGAACUGCAUUUGAUACUGCAUGGCUAGAGUAUGGAAGAGGGAAGUGGAAUUUCCGGUGUAGCGGUGAAAUGCGUAGAUAUCGGAAGGAACACCAGUGGCGAAAGCGACUUCCUGGUCCAAUACUGACGUUCAUGUGCGAAAGCGUGGGGAGCAAACAGGAUUAGAUACCCUGGUAGUCCACGCCAUAAACGAUGACAACUAGAUGUUGGGAGGGUCUGCCUCUCGGUGUCGCAGCUAACGCGUUAAGUUGUCCGCCUGGGGAGUACGGCCGCAAGGUUGAA